AUUGAACGCUGGCGGCAUGCCUUACACAUGUAAGUCGAACGGCAGCACGGGUGCUUGCACCUGGUGGCGAGUGGCGAACGGGUGAGUAAUACAUCGGAACAUGUCCUGUAGUGGGGGAUAGCCCGGCGAAAGCCGGAUUAAUACCGCAUACGAUCUACGGAUGAAAGCGGGGGACCUUCGGGCCUCGCGCCAUAGGGUUGGGCGAUGGCUGAUUAGCUAGUUGGUGGGGUAAAGGUCUACCAAGGCGACGAUCAGUAGCUGGUCUGAGAGGACGACCAGCCACACUGGGACUGAGACACGGCCCAGACUCCUACGGGAGGCAGCAGUGGGGAAUUUUGGACAAUGGGCGAAAGCCUGAUCCAGCAAUGCCGCGUGUGUGAAGAAGGCCUUCGGGUUGUAAAGCACUUUUGUCCGGAAAGAAAUCCUUGGCCCUAAUACGGUCGGGGGAUGACGGUACCGGAAGAAUAAGCACCGGCUAACUACGUG
rnacentral:rRNA from 1 species